GGCCAGGUGACGUGAUAGAGUUGACGUUUUAUACAAUUUUUAUGUUUUAGACGAAAAAUCUGUCAACGAUGAACACGUUUCACAGAAUGGAAAAGAAAAUAAAAGAAUAGGUAAAAAUUGGUUUAAGUAUAUUGACUGGAUUUAGUACAGAUCAUGCAGAUUUAUGUUUGUCCAUACACGUUUACUCCGGUUUUGUCCUUGAAUAUGCAGUUAUAACGUAUAAUACUUUGUAAAGGUCUGAUUCCACAAGCGCUUUUUCUCGGCGAAAUUGUUUUCUUUGUCUUUUUUUGCGUGUUAAGAAAUUGUGGAACAGGAGCAAUUACUGGGCGUGCAGAAAUUGUUUUCGCGAAGAAACCUGCUCUCUGCUGUAGAUUGCGCACCGACACCUGUGCCACAGAUAUUUAUGCUUGUUAUAUAGAGCGAUAAAGCACAUAAUAAAAUAGUUAACUAUAUUAGGGGGAAAGGUAGUGAAGUAUUGCCCAAAUACUGCCAUAGAUACAUUAUCCGGUUACCAUUUUUCCUUGACCAGCAUCCGGUAGACUACCAUAUCCAGUAUAUCCAGUCAUGCAGUAUGCGGCUCAUCCAUAUAAACCCCUUGCAAUAAUAUACACUUUAAACCAGGUUAAAACUAACGUUAUGUCAAAGUCUUUAUAGUCAAUUAUAUAUUUUUCCCGUUGUGUAGAGAGAUCACGCUGUUCCAUUAUGAUGAUUAUUGUUCUCAUUGGAUUAAUAUUGGGAAUAUCUGGUUUGAUUAUAUAUUGCAAUAAAAAUGACUGCAUUUUUACAAGAUUAAAGCAAAUGUUAUAAAAAUAUUUUUAAUAAUAAAUAUGAUUGUAAAGCUAUGAAAUCAGAAUAAAUGCCAGUUGAAAACCGGGUGUAAAUGUAAACCGUUGGAUGCUGAUCCGUCACUAAAUAUCUUUAUGAAACAAGGGUUCGGGGUUCUAAACUCUCCGCGAGUAAGGGCGUCA